AUGGCUCUGGCCUGCCAGGGCAGCGUCAGCCUCGCGGCCGCUCCCAAUGCCCCCACACCGCCAGCCCAGAGCCCCGACCCCAGCGCCGCACUCACUGUGCUGCCAGAAGGCCGCGAACUCAUCCAGCGGGGAGCUCAGCGCCGCCGGGAACAACCUGCGGGGCUCCUGCACGUAGCACAGCGGGGACACGGGCCAGCAGCGCGGGGACAGCACCAGCACCUCCACCUCCGGCACAUCUGCCGCAGGGGCCUCCUCUGGAGCCUGGACGCAGGGACAGAGGGCGGCUCAGGACGGGCCCAGGACGGGCUGGUAACGGUACGGCCCCGACCCCCAUCCCUCCCUGCCCCUCACCUCGGCCUCGGGGCUCUCCGUGCCCAGGCCCCGCUCCAGCAGCCGCCGGUCCCGCUCCUGCAGCCGGAAGAGGCGGAAGUGCCGCCGCAGCUCCUCGGACUCCACCAGGUCGCUCAGCAUCUCCUGGGGGAAGCGGCGGGGGAAGCACAGCCCCAUCUGCUCCACCACGGCCCCUUCCAGCCAGGACGGCCCCUGUGCCAGCAGCCGGUCCCCCAGGUACAGCCUGACACAGCCGCACGUCAGGGCCACCUCGGCCCCGUGGACAACGGCCCUGCCACCACCGGGACGGGCCCCGCAGAGCCACGGAGCCCCGGGCCCAUGAGCCCUUCCCUCCCCAGGGCACGGCAGGGGCAGCGCUCACCGGUAGAAGUGCUCGAAGGUGUGGGCGAACUCCAGGCCGCCGAAGACCACGAAGGGCUCCAGGAUCUGCUGCAGCUGCCCUGUGCUGCCCACGGCCCCGUGCAGCUCCUGCACCUUCCUGUCCAGGUAGCGGGCAAACCGCUCGCUCACCUGCAGAGGAAUGGCACAGUGGUGUGGGACGGGGCGGCCGCAGGGGUCAGGGCACGGGCAGGAGCCCCGGGGCAUCAGAAGGGGAGAUGUGACCCGGCCCGGGCAGGGAGCACAGCAGGGCUGUGUUCCCACAGCUGGGCAUCCACAAGGGCCAUGCUGGGCCGCUGGACUCACGUGCAGGGAGGUCAGGAAGGAGAGCUGCAGCAGAGCCCCAGCAAAGCCCUGGCCCAGAGCUGCCACAAAGGCGGCCUGCUGCCCAAAGAGCUCCUCUGUGGCACCGCGCAGGCACCGGUACAGCGCACAGUACUGCUCCACCAUGUUCAGUGCCUGCCCCGACACCUCCAGGAACCGCUGCACCUGCGGGCACAGCCCAGAGUUCAGCCUGCAGUGGGACGGCAGUGGGCCCCGCUGGCACUGACCGCCCCGCACCCUACCUGCUGCUGCACCACGCCACGCCAGCACCGCACCAUGUCCCACAGGCCUCCAGACUUCACUGCCACCGCCACCCGGGCUGGUGUCUCCUUCUUCCUGCCCUCCUUCCCACCUGCCAAGGCACAGCCGAAGCUCAGCCCCUCAUGUUGCCCCUCGCCUGGCCCCGCAGGAAGGCAGCCCUGCACUCACCCACAGCUCCCUCCUCCUCUGGUUCCACACCACCCGGGUCCACGUGCACCAGGAGCUGGGUCAGGCGCCGCACACAGGAACCGAAAGCGUCGCUGCGGGGCGGCUCUGUGCUCCCCAGGUACUCACCCAGCAGCCAGGCCAGAGGGCUGA
ensembl:lncRNA